GCCUCCGUGGCGGAACUGGAAUACGCGCACGGCUUAGAACCGUGUGGGGAAACCCUUGCAGGUCCGAAUCCUGCCGGAGGCA
rnacentral:tRNA from 1 species